UAGGGAAUCUUCCACAAUGGACGCAAGUCUGAUGGAGCAACGCCGCGUGAGUGAAGAAGGCUUUCGGGUCGUAAAACUCUGUUAUUGAAGAAGAACGUGUGUGACAGUAACUGGUCAUGCAGUGACGGUAUUCAAUCAGAAAGUCACGGCUAACUACGUGCCAGCAGCCGCGGUAAUACGUAGGCGGCAAGCGUUGUCCGGAUUUAUUGGGCGUAAAGCGAGUGCAGGCGGUCUUUUAAGUCUGAUGUGAAAGCCUUCGGCUUAACCGAAGAAGGGCAUCGGAAACUGGGAGACUUGAGUGCAGAAGAGGAGAGUGGAACUCCAUGUGUAGCGGUGAAAUGCGUAGAUAUAUGGAAGAACACCAGUGGCGAAGGCGGCUCUCUGGUCUGUAACUGACGCUGAGGCUCGAAAGCGUGGGUAGCAAACAGGAUUAGAUACCC
rnacentral:rRNA from 1 species